UACAUGGGGUGCAAACGUUGCUCGGAAUCAUUGGGCGUAAAGCGCGCGUAGGCGGUUGCUUAAGUCGGAUGUGAAAGCCCUCGGCUUAACUGAGGAAGUGCAUCCGAAACUGAGCAGCUAGAGUACGAAAGAGGGUCGCGGAAUUCCCGGUGUAGAGGUGAAAUUCGUAGAUAUCGGGAGGAACACCGGUGGCGAAGGCGGCGACCUGGGUCGAGACUGACGCUGAGGCGCGAAAGCGUGGGGAG
rnacentral:rRNA from 1 species